GUUCUUCUGUUGAUAUAAGGUUUUUCCGUCACUGGGUCUUCUUAACUGACAGGUCUCGUGAUCAUUCUAAAUAACUUAUCGAUGAUUCUCAUGGUGGUCUAUCAUUUGUGGUUAUCCUGCAGAAAGAAGGGUCUUGGCUUCAUCCUCACCGUAAAAUUUCCUACGCGUGACAACUAUUGCCAUGUACAUGGGCUUUCCUUGUACCAUUCUAAGGCUUAAACAAAAGCUUCAAAGAACGUCGUCUCUCUACUAUGGGUAAUGCUCUCAGAUUUACCAUUCCGAAUAGCAAGAGAAUGAAGAGAGUAAGUCGUCAUGGUGAUCAAUCCAUUCUGCACCCAAAUCAUUACUCUGUAUAGGGU
rnacentral:lncRNA from 1 species